UGAGGAAUAUUGGGUCAAUGGGCGCAGGCCUGAACCAGCCAAGUCGCGUGAGGGAGGACGGUCCUACGGAUUGUAAACCUCUUUUGUCGGGGAGUAACGUGCGGGACGGGUCCCGUAUUGAGAGUACCCGAAGAAAAAGCAUCGGCUAACUCCGUGCCAGCAGCCGCGGUAAUACGGAGGAUGCGAGCGUUAUCCGGAUUUAUUGGGUUUAAAGGGUGCGCAGGCGGCGCGCCAAGUCAGCGGUCAAAGUUCCGGGCUCAACCCGGUGUCGCCGUUGAAACUGGCGUGCUCGAGUGCGUGCGAGGAAGGCGGGAAUGCGUUGUGUAGC
rnacentral:rRNA from 1 species